rnacentral:lncRNA from 1 species
AUUGAAUUAAGUAUUAUAUGUAUAUUUACUGUGUUCUAAAUUUGAUAUGUACAAUAUCAUUUUAGAGAUGAUAGUGAAUCUGUUUGUUUAUAUCGGCAUCACACCUGAAUACAUCUAUUAUGGCAGUAUAUGCUUGCUAAGUUCCAUUAGCAGAAAAGUAUUAUUGUUUUUUUCAGGAUCUCAAAUGUAUAUGCAAACAGACAUUGUCCAGAAGAAUACUAAAUGGCAUAUAUUUGCAAAUAAACACAAUGACAAGUACCACUGCCUGAUAAUCAAUAUGCAAAACAUUCCAAGCACUAGGGCGGGAUUGU